rnacentral:rRNA from 1 species
AGAGUUUGAUUCUGGCUCAGGAUGAACGCUAGCGGCAGGCUUAACACAUGCAAGUCGAGGGGCAGCAUGUCCAGCAAUGGAUGAUGGCGACCGGCGGAAGGGUGCGUAACGCGUGAGCAACAUGCCCUAUACAGGGAGAUACACCAGGGAAACUUGGUCUAAUAUCCCAUAGCAUUCAUUGAAGGCAUCUUUAAUGAAUUAAAGCUUCGGUGGUAUAGGAUUGGCUCGCGUGACAUUAGCCAGAUGGUGAGGUAACGGCUCACCAUAGCAAUGAUGUCUAGGGGUUUUGAGAGGAAGGCCCCCCACACUGGGACUGAGACACGGCCCAGACUCCUACGGGAGGCUGCAGUCGAGGAUCAUUCGCAAUGGGGGAAACCCUGACGAUGCGACGCUGCGUGGAGGAUGAAGGCCCUCGGGUCGUAAACUCCUGUCAUGUGGGACAAGAUGGCAUCCGCUAACACCGGUGUGCCUUUGAUGGUACCACAAGAGGAAGCCACGGCUAACUCUGUGCCAGCAGCCGCGGUAAUACAGAGGUGGCGAGCGUUGUUCGGAUUUACUGGGCGUAAAGCGUGCGUAGGCGGUCGCGUGUGUCGGAUGUGAAAUCCCGGGGCUCACCCCCGGAAGUGCAUCCGAAACUGCGCGGCUUGAGGCCGGGAUGGGUGACUGGAACACAUGGUGUAGCGGUGAAAUGCGUUGAUAUCAUGUGGAACACCGGAGGCGAAGGCGAGUCACUGGAACGGAUCUGACGUUGAGGCACGAAAGCGUGGGGAGCAAAAAAGGGUAGAUACCCUGGUAGUCCACCCCGUAAACGUUGCACAUUUGCCGUGGGGGGAGUUGACCCCCCCCCCGGCGGAGCUAACGCGUUAAAUGUGCCGCCUGGGGAGUACGGCCGCAAGGUUAAAACUCAAAGAAAUUGACGGGGGCCCGCACAAGCGGAGGAGCAUGUGGCUUAAUUUGAUGCAACGCGAAGAACCUUACCUAGGCUUGACAUGUGACUGCACGCCCUGUGAAAGCAGGGCUCCUUCGAGGGUGUCACACAGGUGCUGCAUGGCUGUCGUCAGUUCGUGCCGUGAGGUGUUUGGUUAAGUCCACCAACGAACGCAACCCCUGCGUCCAUUUGCCAACGGGUAAUGCCGGGAACUAUGGACGGACUGCCCCUUCAAACGGGAGGAAGGUGGGGAGGACGUCAAGUCAGUAUGGCCCUUACGCCUAGGGCUGCACACGUGCUACAAUGGCCGGUACAGAAGGAUGCAAGACCGCGAGGUGGAGCAAAACCCCAAAACCGGCCCCAGUUCAGAUUGGAGUCUGCAAUUCGACUCCAUGAAGUUGGAUUCGCUAGUAACGGCGCAUCAGCAUUCGGCGCCGUGAAUAAAAUCCCGGGCCUUGCACACACCGCCCGUCA